UACAGAGGGGGCAAGCGUUGUUCGGAAUUACUGGGCGUAAAGGGCGCGUAGGCGGCCUGCUAAGUCGAACGUGAAAUCCCUGGGCUCAACCCAGGAACUGCGUCCGAUACUGGUUGGCUUGAAUCCGGGAGAGGGAUGUGGAAUUCCAGGUGUAGCGGUGAAAUGCGUAGAUAUCAGGAGGAACACCGGUGGCGAAGGCGCCACUCUGGGCCGAAACUGACGCUGAGGAGCGAAAGCGUGGGUAGCAAACAGG
rnacentral:rRNA from 1 species